rnacentral:hammerhead_ribozyme from 1 species
AUCCAGCUGACGUGUUUCAAAUAGGACGAAACGCGCGUCAAACUGGAU